GGGUCAGUGGGUUGGUCGUGCCACCGGUACGUACUGGUCUCACUGAUUCCUCCUUCCUGAAGAACCGUAAUGCCAUUAAUUUGGUGUUGCGGGGAAACAGGACUGUUACUUUGAAAAAAUUAGAGUGUUUAAAGCAAGCUAACGCUUGAAUACAUUAGCAUGGAAUAAUGAAACAGGACGAUCGAUCCUAUUUUGUUGGUUUCUAGGAUUGACGUA
rnacentral:rRNA from 1 species